AACGUAGGAGACAACCGUUAUCCGGAGUUACUGGGCGUAAAGGGCGUGUAGGUGGUUUCGUAAGUCUGGCGUGAAAUAUCUCGGCUUAACCGAGGCAGGUCGUCGGAUACUGCGGAACUAGAGGACGGUAGAGGCGUGUGGAAUUCCGGGUGUAGUGGUGAAAUGCGUAGAGAUCCGGAGGAACACCAGUGGCGAAGGCGACACGCUGGGCCGUACCUGACGCUAAAGCGCGACAGCAUGGGGAGCAAACGGG
rnacentral:rRNA from 1 species